rnacentral:rRNA from 1 species
GUCCCUACGGAGGGCAGCAGUAGGGAAUCUUCCACAAUGGGCGGGAGCCUGAACCAGCCAAGCCGCGUGAGGGAAGAAGGUACAGCGUAUCGUAAACCUCUUUUGUCAGGGAACAAAGGCGGGGACUAGUCCCCGGAUGAGGGUACCUGAAGAAAAAGCAUCGGCUAACUCCGUGCCAGCAGCCGCGGUAAUACGGAGGAUGCGAGCGUUAUCCGGAUUUAUUGGGUUUAAAGGGUGCGCAGGCGGCCUGUUAAGUCAGCGGUAAAAGCCCGGGGCUCAACCCCGGCGAGCCGUUGAAACUGGCG